rnacentral:miRNA from 1 species
GCCAGACUGCGGCAUUUGUGCCCAGCCAGACUGCGGCAUUUCCUUUUCCUUUUAAUUUUUUUCAAGUAGUAUAUAUAUAUAUAUAUAUAUAUAUAUAUAUACUACUUGAAAAAAAUUAAAAGGAAAAGGAAAUGCCGCAGUCUGGCUGGGCACAAAUGCUGCAGUCUGGC